rnacentral:rRNA from 1 species
UACGUAGGGGGCAAGCGUUGUCCGGAAUCAUUGGGCGUAAAGAGCGUGUAGGCGGCUGGGUAGGUCCGCUGUGAAAACUCGAGGCUUAACCUCGAGACGUCGGUGGAAACCCUCCAGCUAGAGUCCGGAAGAGGAGAGUGGAAUUCCUGGUGUAGCGGUGAAAUGCGCAGAUAUCAGGAAGAACACCCGUGGCGAAAGCGGCUCUCUGGGACGGUACUGACGCUGAGACGCGAAAAGCGUGGGGAGCGAACAGG